rnacentral:rRNA from 1 species
UGGGGAAUAUUGCACAAUGGGCGCAAGCCUGAUGCAGCGACGCCGCGUGAGGGAUGACGGCCUUCGGGUUGUAAACCUCUUUCAGUAGGGAAGAAGCGAAAGUGACGGUACCUGCAGAAGAAGCGCCGGCUAACUACGUGCCAGCAGCCGCGGUAAUACGUAGGGUGCAAGCGUUGUCCGGAAUUAUUGGGCGUAAAGAGCUCGUGGGCGGUUUGUCGGGUCGGCGGUGAAAAUCCGAGGCUCAACCUC